AUUGAACGCUGGCGGCAGGCCUAACACAUGCAAGUCGAGCGGUAGAGAGGUGCUUGCACCUCUUGAGAGCGGCGGACGGGUGAGUAAUGCCUAGGAAUCUGCCUGGUAGUGGGGGAUAACGCUCGGAAACGGACGCUAAUACCGCAUACGUCCUACGGGAGAAAGCAGGGGACCUUCGGGCCUUGCGCUAUCAGAUGAGC
rnacentral:rRNA from 1 species